rnacentral:rRNA from 1 species
CGAAAGCCUGACGGAGCAAGACCGCGUGAGGGAGGAAGGCCUACUGGUUGUAAACCUCUUUUGAUAGGGAAGAACACAAUGACGGUACCUAUCGAAUCAGCACCGGCUAACUCCGUGCCAGCAGCCGCGGUAAUACGGAGGGUGCAAGCGUUAUCCGGAAUUAUUGGGCGUAAAGCGUCCGUAGGUGGUUUGUCAAGUCAGUUGUUAAAGCGUGGAGCUUAACUCCAUAAGGGCAAUUGAAACUGACAGGCUAGAGUGCGAUAGGGGCAAGGGGAAUUCCCAGUGUAGCGGUGAAAUGCGUAGAUAUUGGGAAGAACAUCGGUGGCGAAAGCGCCUUGCUGGGUCUGCACUGACACUGAGGGACGAAAGC